AUGCUGCCGGCUCGUCCCCCUCCUCGUUCCCCACCGUCUCAAGCUUCAAUUUUUGCCACAUCGCCGGUGGUUGAUCUGCCGGCAGAAUUGCGGGCGGCGGCCUGGAGCGGCAGUACGCAAGCUCUGACUCCAUACCGAGCCAGCCGGCACACCCGCCAAGGAGCUCCGCCAGCCGCUGCCCUAGCGCCCGCGGCCGUCAAUGCGUGGUCGGGCGCCGCGUCGAUGUUGCCGCUGCUCGGCGCCGCCGUCGCCGACUCGUGGCUCGGCCGGUACCGCACCAUCGUCGCCUCCUUCGUUAUCUACAUCACGUGGCACAAAGGCGAGCUACCUUGGCGUGCAGAAGAGGCCCCCGUCCCUUGCCUUGUGCCCGGCGACCAACAACUGCGUGUCGACGUCCGAGAGGAUAAGCAAUUCCAAUCACUACGCUCCCCCAUGGCAACCAUCUGUGUUCAGUUCUUUCACCAUUGA
rnacentral:rRNA from 1 species